GCUGACCAGCUGACAGACUUGACGGCCGCCUUAGACCGUUAGCUUUUGCUAUGUACAGUAGAUGUAGAGAUUAAAAAAGGAUUUUACUACAUAUUAUAAUCAACGUUCUCACUAUUUCGUGGCCAUUCAAGUUGGAAGAUUAAUAGUGUUAGUUCUUAAAAAAAAAAAAUUAAAAAAUUUUAAAUUUAUCUAAACUAUAUAAUAAAAAUGAGAGUUUUAAAUUGACUUAUCUAAAAUAUGUCACAUUAUCGUAUAUAUGUAAUACAAAAUUUAUUUGCAUCCAAGAUUCCAAUAAAG
rnacentral:lncRNA from 1 species